rnacentral:rRNA from 1 species
GACGAACGCUGGCGGCGUGCUUAACACAUGCAAGUCGAACGGUGAAGCGCCUUCCUUUUUGGUGGGUGUGGAUGAGUGGCGAACGGGUGAGUAACACGUGAGUAACCUGCCCCCUUCUUCUGGAUAACCGCAUGAAAGUGUGGCUAAUACGGGAUAUUCUGGGUCUGUCGCAUGAUGGGUCUGGGAAAGAUAUUGUUUCGGUGGGGGAUGGGCUCGCGGCCUAUCAGCUUGUUGGUGGGGUGAUGGCCUACCAAGGCGGUGACGGGUAGCCGGCCUGAGAGGGUGGACGGUCACACUGGGACUGAGACACGGCCCAGACUCCUACGGGAGGCAGCAGUGGGGAAUAUUGCACAAUGGGCGCAAGCCUGAUGCAGCGACGCCGCGUGAGGGAUGGAGGCCUUCGGGUUGUGAACCUCUUUCGCCAGUGAAGCAGGCCUGCCUCAUUUGUGGGUGGGUUGACGGUAGCUGGAUAAGAAGCGCCGGCUAACUACGUG